AUUGAACGCUGGCGGCAUGCCUUACACAUGCAAGUCGAACGGCAGCAUGAUCUAGCUUGCUAGAUUGAUGGCGAGUGGCGAACGGGUGAGUAAUACAUCGGAACGUGCCCUGUAGUGGGGGAUAACUAGUCGAAAGAUUAGCUAAUACCGCAUACGACCUGAGGGUGAAAGUGGGGGACCGCAAGGCCUCAUGCUAUAGGAGCGGCCGAUGUCUGAUUAGCUAGUUGGUGAGGUAAAGGCUCACCAAGGCGACGAUCAGUAGCUGGUCUGCGAGGACGAUCAGCCACAAUGGGACUGUGACACGGCCCAGACUCGUACGGGAGGCAGCAGUGGGGAAUUUUGGACAAUGGGGGCAACCCUGAUCCAGCAAUGACGCGUGUGUGAAGAAGGCCUUCGGGUUGUAAAGCACUUUUGUCCGGAAAGAAAUCGCACUUACUAAUAUUAGGUGUGGAUGACGGUACCGGAAGAAUAAGGACCGGCUAACUACGUGCCAGCCGCCGCAGUAAUAC
rnacentral:rRNA from 1 species